GACGAACGCUGGCGGCGUGCUUAACACAUGCAAGUCGAACGGAAAGGCCCUGCUUUUGUGGGGUGCUCGAGUGGCGAACGGGUGAGUAACACGUGAGUAACCUGCCCUUGACUUUGGGAUAACUUCAGGAAACUGGGGCUAAUACCGGAUAGGAGCUCCCGCUGCAUGGUGGGGGUUGGAAAGUUUCGGCGGUUGGGGAUGGACUCGCGGCUUAUCAGCUUGUUGGUGGGGUAGUGGCUUACCAAGGCUUUGACGGGUAGCCGGCCUGAGAGGGUGACCGGCCACAUUGGGACUGAGAUACGGCCCAGACUCCUACGGGAGGCUGCAGUGGGGAAUAUUGCACAAUGGGCGGAAGCCUGAUGCAGCAACGCCGCGUGCGGGAUGACGGCCUUCGGGUUGUAAACCGCUUUCGCCUAUGACGAAGCGUGAGUGACGGUAAUGGGUAAAGAAGCACCGGCUAACUACGUG
rnacentral:rRNA from 1 species